GAUGAACGCUGGCGGCGUGCCUAAUACAUGCCAGUCGAGCGAACGGACGAGAAGCUUGCUUCUCUGAUAUUAGCGGCGGACGGGUGAGUAACACGUGGAUAACCUACCUAUAAGACUGGGAUAACUUCGGGAAACCGUAGCUAAUACCGGAUAAUAUUUUGAACCGCAUGGUUCAAAAGUGAAAGACGGUCUUGCUGUCACUUAUAGAUGGAUCCGCGCUGCAUUAGCUAGUUGGUAAGGUAACGGCUUACCAAGGCAACGAUGCAUAGCCGACCUGAGAGGGUGAUCGGCCACACUGGAACUGAGACACGGUCCAGACUCCUACGGGAGGCAGCAGUAGGGAAUCUUCCGCAAUGGGCGAAAGCCUGACGGAGCAACGCCGCGUGAGUGAUGAAGGUCUUCGGAUCGUAAAACUCUGUUAUUAGGGAAGAACAUACGUGUAAGUAACUGUGCACAUCUUGACGGUACCUAAUCAGAAAGCCACGGCUAACUACGUG
rnacentral:rRNA from 1 species